AACUAACAAGGAUUCCCCUAGUAGCGGCGAGCGAAGCGGGAAGAGCUCAAAUUUAUAAUCUGGCACCUUCGGUGUCCGAGUUGUAAUCUCUAGAAGUGUUUUCCGCGCUGGACCGCACACAAGUCUGUUGGAAUACAGCGGCACAGUGGUGAUACCCCCGUACACGGUGCGGAUGCCCAGCGCUUUGUGAUACACUUUCAAUGAGUCGAGUUGUUUGGGAAUGCAGCUCAAAUUGGGUGGUAAAUUCCAUCUAAAGCUAAAUAUUGGCGAGAGACCGAUAGCGAACAAGUACCGUGAGGGAAAGAUGAAAAGCACUUUGGAAAGAGAGUUAACAGUACGUGAAAUUGUUGGAAGGGAAACGCUUGAAGUCAGACUUGCUUGCCGGAGCUUGCUUCGGUUUGCAGGCCAGCAUCAGUUUUCUGGGGUGGAUAAUGGCGGUUUGAAGGUAGCAGCCUCGUGCUGUGUUAUAGCUUUCCGCUGGAUACAUCCUGGGGGACUGAGGAACGCAGCGUGCUUUUAGCGAAGGUUUCGACCUUUCACGCUUAGGAUGCUGGUGAUAUGACUUUAAACGAC
rnacentral:rRNA from 1 species